rnacentral:rRNA from 1 species
AUGGAGAGCGCCGGCGCCGGCGAGGAGCGGCCGCGGGGCCACCGGUUCGUGCUCGUGCACGGCGUCUGCCACGGCGCGUGGAGCUGGUACAGGGUGGCCACGGCCCUGCGGUCGGCCGGCCACCGCGUCGACGCGCUCGACAUGGCCGCGUGCGGCGCCAGGCCGGGGCGCGCCGAGGAGGUGGGCUCGUUCCAGGAGUACAGCCGGCCGCUGCUGGACGCGCUGGGGGCGCUGCCGCCGGGGGAGAAGGCGGUGCUGGUGGGCCACAGCUACGGCGGCCAGAGCCUGGCGCUGGCCAUGCAGGCGCACCCGGACAGGGUCGCCGUCGCCGUCUUCGCCUCCGCCGCCAUGCCGGCCGCCGGGAAGCCCCUCAAGUUCGUCUCCGAACAGUUUGCGCAAGAAAGGGGCCCGGGUUUCUUCAUGGACAGCGUGAUCGAGACCACCGGCGGCGACGACCUGGAGCGCGCUUGCAAGACGUUCCUGCUGGGGCCGGAGUACAUGGCGCAGCGACUGUAUCAGCUCAGCCCAGCGGAGGACCUGACGCUGGCGACGAUGCUGGUGAGGCCGUCGCGGCGGUUCGUGGACGACGCCGUGAUGAACGGGGAGGAGGUGCUCACGGCGGAGAGGUACGGCGCGGUGAGCCGCGUGUACGUCGUCGCCGAGGAGGACGCCUCGUGGUCGCCCGAGUUCCAGCGGCGGAUGGCGUCGUGGAACCCCGGCGCGGAGGUGCGGGGGCUCCAGGGGGCCGAUCACAUGCCCAUGUUCUCCAAGCCCAGGGAGCUCUCAGAUCUCCUCGUGGAGAUAGCCGACAAGUACAUGUGA